rnacentral:ncRNA from 2 species
GUUUAUCAUUACGAACCUCUUUAUUGAGGUAGCAACCUGCAAUUACAAGCGAAGGUGCUUUAACAAUGAGCCUGUACAAAGGAAAAAAAUGUUUUAUC